rnacentral:pre_miRNA from 1 species
UUUUGUAUUUUUCCACAGCUUUCUUGAACUGCAUCUAAUUACGAUUUUCACUAAUGAGGAAAUUAAUUCAUAUCGUUGCGGUUCAAUAAAGCUGUGGGAAGAUAUAGAUA